AGCAUUCUCUGGUGUUGAAGGCCCUGCAAAGCAGCAUCGCGGUGGCGGAGCGUCGUUUGCGACGCCCAACACACAAAACAAGCGGUGAGUGCUUUGGGGUGGGGUGACUGCGUACCUUUUGUAUAAUGGGUCAGCGACUUAUAUUCUGUAGCAAGGUUAACCGAAUAGGGGAGCCGGAGGGAAACCGAGUCUUAAUUGGGCGUUAAGUUGCAGGGUAUAGACCCGAAACCCGGUGAUCUAGCCAUGGGCAGGUUGAAGGUUGGGUAACACUAACUGGAGGACCGAACCGACUAAUGUUGAAAAAUUAGCGGAUGACCUGUGGCUGGGGGUGAAAGGCCAAUCAAACCGGGAGAUAGCUGGUUCUCCCCGAAAGCUAUUUAGGUAGCGCCUCGUGAAUUCAUCUCCGGGGGUAGAGCACUGUUUCGGCUAGGGGGCCAUCCCGGCUUACCAACCCGAUGCAAACUGCGAAUACCGGAGAAUGUUAUCACGGGAGACACACGGCGGGUGCUAACGUCCGUCGUGAAGAGGGAAACAACCCAGACCGCCAGCUAAGGUCCCAAAGUCAUGGUUAAGUGGGAAACGAUGUGGGAAGGCCCAGACAGCCAGGAUGUUGGCUUAGAAGCAGCCAUCAUUUAAAGAAAGCGUAAUAGCUCACUGGUCGAGUCGGCCUGCGCGGAAGAUGUAACGGGGCUAAACCAUGCACCGAAGCUGCGGCAGCGACACUGUGUGUUGUUGGGUAGGGGAGCGUUCUGUAAGCCUGUGAAGGUGUGUCGUGAGGCAUGCUGGAGGUAUCAGAAGUGCGAAUGCUGACAUAAGUAACGAUAAAGCGGGUGAAAAGCCCGCUCGCCGGAAGACCAAGGGUUCCUGUCCAACGUUAAUCGGGGCAGGGUGAGUCGACCCCUAAGGCGAGGCCGAAAGGCGUAGUCGAUGGGAAACGGGUUAAUAUUCCCGUACUUGGUGUUACUGCGAAGGGGGGACGGAGAAGGCUAUGUUGGCCGGGCGACGGUUGUCCCGGUUUAAGCGUGUAGGUGUGUGUUCCAGGUAAAUCCGGUUCACUUUAACACUGAGGCGUGAUGACGAGGCACUACGGUGCUGAAGCAACAAAUGCCCUGCUUCCAGGAAAAGCCUCUAAGCAUCAGGUAACAUCAAAUCGUACCCCAAACCGACACAGGUGGUCAGGUAGAGAAUACCAAGGCGCUUGAGAGAACUCGGGUGAAGGAACUAGGCAAAAUGGUGCCGUAACUUCGGGAGAAGGCACGCUGACACGUAGGUGAAGUGAUUUACUCAUGGAGCUGAAGUCAGUCGAAGAUACCAGCUGGCUGCAACUGUUUAUUAAAAACACAGCACUGUGCAAACACGAAAGUGGACGUAUACGGUGUGACGCCUGCCCGGUGCCGGAAGGUUAAUUGAUGGGGUCAGCGCAAGCGAAGCUCCUGAUCGAAGCCCCGGUAAACGGCGGCCGUAACUAUAACGGUCCUAAGGUAGCGAAAUUCCUUGUCGGGUAAGUUCCGACCUGCACGAAUGGCGUAAUGAUGGCCAGGCUGUCUCCACCCGAGACUCAGUGAAAUUGAACUCGCUGUGAAGAUGCAGUGUACCCGCGGCAAGACGGAAAGACCCCGUGAACCUUUACUAUAGCUUGACACUGAACAUUGAGCCUUGAUGUGUAG
rnacentral:rRNA from 1 species